AUACUUUUCUUGACCUUUUGGCUAAGAUUGAGUGUAAUAUUUAUUCUUAUCAGUUUAAUAUCUAGUAUGUGAACUAUAUGUUCACUUUUGAUAUUAAAUUUAAUUUUGUGGCUAUUUUUGUGGGGAGGGUCCAUCACACUGGUUUAUUGGCUCUCGCAUGUCACUCAGUCGUUGCACUGUUGCCUGUUGGUAGGGUCUGGCCUACCCAAC
rnacentral:snRNA from 1 species